rnacentral:rRNA from 1 species
AGAAUCAACGCUGGCGGCGUGCCUAACACAUGCAAGUCGAACGAGAAAGUGGAGCAAUCCAUGAGUAAAGUGGCGACCGGGUGAGUAACACGUGACUAACCUACCUUCAAGUGGGGGAUAACCUCGGGAAACCGGGGCUAAUACCGCAUAACAUCUUUGGAGUGGAAAUUCUGGAGAUCAAAGGAGUAAUUCGCUGGAAGAGGGGGUCGCGGCUGAUUAGCUAGUUGGCGGGGUAAUGGCCCACCAAGGCUUUGAUCGGUAGCCGGCCUGAGAGGGCGCACGGCCACACUGGAACUGAAACACGGUCCAGACUCCUACGGGAGGCAGCAGUGGGGAAUUUUGCGCAAUGGGGGAAACCCUGACGCAGCAACGCCGCGUGGAGGAUGAAGUCCCUUGGGACGUAAACUCCUUUCGACCGGAGAUUAUGACGGUACCGGUGGAAGAAGCCCCGGCUAACUUCGCGCCAGCAGCCGC